ACGGGAGGCAGCAGUGGGGAAUAUUGCACAAUGGGGGAAACCCUGAUGCAGCGACGCCGCGUGAGUGAAGAAGUAUUUCGGUAUGUAAAGCUCUAUCAGCAGGGAAGAUAAUGACGGUACCUGACUAAGAAGCCCCGGCUAACUACGUGCCAGCAGCCGCGGUAAUACGUAGGGGGCAAGCGUUAUCCGGAUUUACUGGGUGUAAAGGGAGCGUAGGUGGCGUGGCAAGUCAGAAGUGAAAGCCCGGGGCUCAACCCCGGGACUGCUUUUGAAACUGUCAUGCUGGAGUGCAGGAGAGGUAAGUGGAAUUCCUAGUGUAGCGGUGAAAUGCGUAGAUAUUAGGAAGAACACCAGUGGCGAAGGCGGUUAGCUGGACAAUAACUGACGCUGAGGCGCGAAAGCGUGGGUAGCAAACAGGAUUAGAUACCCUGGUA
rnacentral:rRNA from 1 species